UAUUUCUGGUAAACUCAUAUUAGAAUGAGUCUGUUGGUUCAAGUGGUGAGGUGUUAGCUUGCCCUAUGGUCUUAUGUUUGAAUCUCUGUAUGAGCGUGAAUGAUAUUUUUGUUUUGAUUGUCUGUUAGAGGUUUGGUGGAGUUGAAAGUCCGUGUUAGUAGAUGAGUGAGUGGGUAGUUAGGAUUGGUUGGAGUGUGAGAUCAUGCCUUAAUUUGGGGAUUUUUUUUAUUUAAAUUUUAUUUUAUUUUCUAUUUUCUCUCUUUUUCCCAAACUUUGUUUCUGACGUUAGUUCCUUCCUUUCUCUGCAACUUUUCUUCUUCUUUUUCGUUUUAUUACAAACCUGUCCAUAACCUGUUGUUCGUAUUGUUGUAUUUUGGAAAUUUCGAUGUUUAUUGUGCGAUUCUGGUAAGUGAGGUUUCACUUGUUUGUG
rnacentral:lncRNA from 1 species